rnacentral:rRNA from 1 species
CGCUGGCGGCAUGCCUAACACAUGCAAGUCGAACGAGACCUUCGGGUCUAGUGGCGCACGGGUGCGUAACGCGUGGGAAUCUGCCCUUGGGUUCGGAAUAACUUCGGGAAACUGAAGCUAAUACCGGAUGAUGUCUUCGGACCAAAGAUUUAUCGGCAAAGGAUGAGCCCGCGUAGGAUUAGGUAGUUGGUGGGGUAAAGGCCUACCAAGCCGACGAUCCUUAGCUGGUCUGAGAGGAUGAUCAGCCACACUGGGACUGAGACACGGCCCAGACUCCUACGGGAGGCAGCAGUGGGGAAUAUUGGACAAUGGGCGAAAGCCUGAUCCAGCAAUGCCGCGUGAGUGAUGAAGGCCUUAGGGUUGUAAAGCUCUUUUGCCCGGGAUGAUAAUGACAGUACCGGGAGAAUAAGCUCCGGCUAACUCCGUG